CCCUAUCCCUGAUAUUAAAGAGAAAGAAGCAAGAAGCAAAUAUGAGGAAUGAGAAACCAAUAGAGAAGAGAUCCCAUUGCAAAAUCUUUCUCCUUCAUCACCACCCUUCCACAAACCCUUUCUGACUAUCUGUAGUCAGCCAAAGGAUGAAGAAAGUCAGUCUCCUAAAGGAGGUUGGAGCACAGAAGAGUUGAAUUGGAAAAGGUUGUCCUCACUUCUUAGAGAGGUUGUGUACGCCAGAGACAAUAUGGGAUGACCAAGUUAACAUAUGCAGCCCUGAGAACCUGAAACAUUACUAGCACAAGAGCUACUGGAAUGGUGGAUGCAGCAGGAUUAAGGGCAGGUCCUAGAAUUAGCUUGAACCUGCAUACUUUUUUCUCCUGUCUCUUAUAGGACUAUUGAAUAAAUAAAAACCAUAGUAAUUACUAAUAUUUAUA
rnacentral:lncRNA from 1 species